rnacentral:rRNA from 1 species
GUGGGGGGGGGGGGGGGGGCGUUGGGGGUGCGGGUCGGACGGCAGCGUGGUCUAGCUUGCUAGAUUGAUGGCGAGUGGCGAACGGGUGAGUAAUACAUCGGAACGUGCCCUGUAGUGGGGGAUAACUAGUCGACAGAUUAGCUAAUACCGCAUACGACCUGCGGGUGAAAGUGGGGGACCGCACGGCCUCAUGCUAUAGGAGCGGCCGAUGUCUGAUUAGCUAGUUGGUGAGGUCACGGCUCACCAAGGCGACGAUCAGUAGCUGGUCUGAGAGGACGAUCAGCCACACUGGGACUGAGACACGGCCCAGACUCCUACGGGAGGCAGCAGUGGGGAAGUUUGGACAAUGGGCGAAAGCCUGAUCCAGCAAUGCCGCGUGUGUGAAGAAGGCCUUCGGGUUGUAAAGCACUUUUGUCCGGAAAGAAAUGGCUCUGGUUAAUACCUGGGGUCGAUGACGGUACCGGAAGAAUAAGGACCGGCUAACUACGUG